AUAUCCAGCCUUCAUCCUCGAUAGUCCCAGUCCCUAUGGCUGUCGGGGAUCCAUCUACGGGCUUUCGCUGUUGUUGCUCCCUGGGCUCCAUCUCCACGGGCUCCUGCUGCUGUCGGAGCUUCAUCUUCCGAUUCAUGUUGUUGCCUUUUUUGACACAUCUACCCUGUUGCUACAGGGCUCCCUCUUCGUCCAAACCCGCCGCUGUCGUACCUGCUACUAUCGGGCUCCAUCAUCGAAAUCCACGCCCAUAGCUCUGCCUCCGUACCCUGAGUAAGGAUCAACUCCUUAUGAGAUUACUUCAUAUGCAACUAAAUCAUAUGCAGUUGCUUGUUAUAAUUGACAACCGGACAAUAAUGUGUAUUGGUUGCUUGAAUAAUGAUUGUCAAUUCAUCGAUGCAAAGCUAACACAAACGCACUUGCCAAAUUCAGAUAUUGGCCAAUUUGAUAUUAAGGGUGCAUCAUGGACAAGACAUGGUUGUCUAAGCCUAGGCAUGUCAAGUUUAUUUUUUUGCCAACUCAUAAGUGGUAUAAUUAUGUCAUUAGUUAUUCUGAUAUCUAAAAAGUACAUGUAGGCACACAAAUUUGCUGGUUCAAACAGUUGUUGACCACUUCAUACAAUGCAUUUGCUGGUUCAAACUGAUGUGCACACAACGGCAUCUGUGAUCUACUCAUUUUGCCACUUUAAAAUAAAUAGAUGCAAAUUUGAUGUAUUUAGUAUGUUCAAUUUGCUCAUAGGGGUUGUUUGCUUGACCUUGUGCAUGGUGCCAAAAAGCUACAGCGGCAGGCUUUUCCGUCAAAGGAAAUUGAUACACACUAGAAAAACUUACCUAUUUCUAUCAGGUAAAGCAUUACUAAUAUUUUUACGUAUCCAAGUGGAGUUUGUUUUCUUUUGACAGAAAGAGUGUUUUUCUCUUAAUGCAAAACAUUAAUUCAUACUAUAUAUGUAGCAUGUAGUUUUGCAUAUUUAAGGAUCCACAAGAAUUGGGUUUAAAUUCUAGAUCUACUGUGCAAUUGAGCCAUAUUGUAUGUCUUCACAUGUGGUAUUUUGGUAGAUAUGAGGUAAAUUGAGGGUAGUUAUUGCUGGUAUAAAGAGCUUCCAUCUCAAAGUACUUUUUAGGACUGGGGUUUGCUUUAAUCCUCGCUCCACCACUGAUCUGGGUUGUUUAUUAGAUUGACAUGUUGAUUUGGAGUUUAACAUGCAUCUAUGUCGAGUCUUGGAAGGUGACCGUGAACUUGGAGAACGAAGAUUCGUACAAGAGUUGGUGAUGACCUCUAGCUUGGUAGUUCUAAUACGUGUGUGUUAACUCAAUACAGAGAGGAAAGGAUGCAUUCAGCUGAUAGAUCACCGUGAAUUAUAAUCAUUUCCUAUACUUAUAUAUUUUUGGCAUGAUGAUUUGAGUAUUGACCCGUACUUUGUAAUAGGCUAAUGGGUUAUUACUUCUGGUAGUAGCAUUUGUCGUUGUGCUGAUAUAGUCUAUAUGUGGGUAGAAACAUGUUUUCUGUUGGACAGCAUUUCCGUAUUGCACCCUAAAGGCCUGAACACAAAUAAUGUGUCAUGUUAUAUCAGUAAUGAGAUGCGAGUUGAUUACAAUUGAAAGCAAUGCAUAGAGAAUAAUCAGAUACUUAGUAUGGUGUAUGCAAAUUUUAGAAACCGCUAUUUCAUGGUUCGUGGUAGAUACCAAUAUGUCACAGAAAACAUUUUUUAUACUUCGUAUAAUUGGAAAAAAUAUAUAAUCAACACACAGGAUGACACGCAGUCAAACGAGAAAUAUAAACUUGUGUGGUUGUUUUGUAAUUUGCUGCUAAUAUAUAUAUUUCUACUUCUGUAACUAUUUUGUUAGGUUUGAAGUAUAUUGGUCGUGAAUGAAAGUCUAUUGGGACCCUAAGCAUCAUAUUGGAUCAUUGUGACAACAACGAGUAUUCACAAGUGUGGUAGGUUGUCCAUCUCAUCUCCAAUUUUGAAAGCAUAUAAAUAUUAUUUCUUAAUCAAAGAAAAUGAGCAUACAUGUGGUAUUUCUUGGACUUGAUUUUUUAUCUUGAGUUGGACAAUAAGAUGUUUUAACUGCAGUUGGCCAAUAAGAUAUUGAUCAUAAGUCUCACGUGUUAAUUCAUAAUGAGGUCUCUGAAAUUCUGUUUUGUCAGUUGAUAGGUGAUGUACAAUGCUCUCUGUUAUGAGAUUGCAUGUUGGCAAGUAAGCAGGAAGUUUGCUAUAAUUUCUUUUCAUUAGUCUCAUCUCAACGGUGUUCAUAUUUUUUACUAUUACUAUUAUGCGUAUUUCUUUGCAUUAGUCUCAUCUCAACGAAGUUUUCAAUAGUAUUUAUGGAAAUUUAAAAUGUAUCAUGUGACUAUAUAUUUCUGAAAUUUCUGAUCAUUUCAUUGUACAAAUUGACGAGCGUGGCAACGCGCGCCAUGAGUGAUCUAGUGUCUAAUUACAAGUGGGUAUGUUUUCAUUAUUCUCUUAUCAUUAACAUCAUGUGGAAUAUUUUCAGGUACCCACCCACCUAGUGUGUAUGGAUGUGAUCAUAGUGUUAGGUGGCAUUUUCCUCUUUGCAGUAUUUUGGACCGGCCAACUUGUGAUCAUGAAUCUAAUUUGUGUUCUGGACCAUUUGGCGCUUCAAAUGUAGUAGAAAUCUUGUGGUCAUGGAUGUAACUUAAGUGUUUUGGACCAUUUAGUGUUUAAACUCUUUUAGAACAGCAAAUAGUGGUUCCUUUAUGUGACUUGUGUUUUCUGGAUGGUAGUCAAGAUGGACAAACUUUCCUUUGUCAAGGUUGUCCUUUUUUUGAACUUGUGAUCAAUAUAUAUGUUUGUGAACAUAUUAUCUAUGCUUGUGCAGUGUGUGUUCA
rnacentral:lncRNA from 1 species